rnacentral:rRNA from 1 species
AUUGAACGCUGGCGGCAUGCCUUACACAUGCAAGUCGAACGGCAGCAUGAUCUAGCUUGCUAGAUUGAUGGCGAGUGGCGAACGGGUGAGUAAUACAUCGGAACGUGCCCUGUAGUGGGGGAUAACUAGUCGAAAGAUUAGCUAAUACCGCAUACGACCUGAGGGUGAAAGUGGGGGACCGCAAGGCCUCAUGCUAUAGGAGCGGCCGAUGUCUGAUUAGCUAGUUGGUGAGGUAAAGGCUGACCAAGGCGACGAUCAGUAGCUGGUCUGGGAAGACGAUCAGCCACACUGGGACUGAGACACGGCCCAGACUACUACGGGAGGCAGCAGUGGGGAAUUUUGGACAAUGGGGGCAACCCUGAUCCAGCAAUGCCGCGUGUGUGAAGAAGGCCUUCGGGUUGUAAAGCACUUUUGUCCGGAAAGAAAUCGCACUUACUAAUAUUAGGUGUGGAUGACGGUACCGGAAGAAUAAGGACCGGCUAACUACGUGCCAGCCGCCGCAGUAAGAC